UAAACGUCCCAGUUCGGAUGUAGUCUGCAACCCGACUACAUGAAGCUGGAAUCGCUAGUAAUCGCGAAUCAGAAUGUCGCGGUGAAUACGUUCCCGGGUCUUGUACACACCGCCCGUCACACCAUGGGAGUCGGAAAUGCCCGAAGUCAGUGACCCAACCGUAAGGAGGGAGCUGCCGAAGGUGGAGCCGGUAACUGGGGUGAAGUCGUAACAAGGUAGC
rnacentral:rRNA from 1 species